rnacentral:tRNA from 1 species
CGGGGUGUGGCGCAGUUGGAUUAGCGCGCCGCGUUUGGGACGCGGAGGUCGUCCGUUCGAGUCGGAUCACCCCGACCA